GAGGUUGAAUAGACAUUUGAGCUGGAGACUCAAUGUUUUUUUCUUUUUAUGUUGUUUUAUAGGGUGAGAGAAAUGUUUGAGAUCUGGAAGCAUUUCAAUCCUGAAGUGCGUAAGAAAAAAAGGGGGAGCAUAACAACUCAAGAAAGGCUAGAACUACUGAUGGAUGGGCUAACAGUCCAAAUUCCAAAACAGCCAUCCCAGUUCCUAGAGGAAAGGUCUCUUAUUGAAUACGAUCCUGCUGGCUUCUGCAUGCCUUUCAAAAACAAUUGACCAUAUGGCACGGAGGGCUUUUGUUCCGUCCAGUUUUCCCUUGGAUGUGCAAAAGUAUCUGCAUGGUUCACGCAUCAUUAAUGCUUCUUUGAGGAAGGGCAGGAUGGCUCCUUGCCCCAGGAA